GAUGAACGCUGGCGGCGUGCCUAAUACAUGCAAGUCGAGCGAACGGACGAGAAGCUUGCUUUUCUGAUGUUAGCGGCGGACGGGUGAGUAACACGUGGAUAACCUACCUAUAAGACUGGGAUAACUUCGGGAAACCGGAGCUAAUACCGGAUAAUAUUUUGAACCGCAUGGUUCAAAAGUGAAAGACGGUCUUGCUGUCACUUAUAGAUGGAUCCGCGCUGCAUUAGCUAGUUGGUAAGGUAACGGCUUACCAAGGCAACGAUGCAUAGCCGACCUGAGAGGGUGAUCGGCUACACUGGAACUGAGACACGGUCCCGACUCCGACGGGAGGCAGCAGUAGGGAAUCUUCCGCAAUGGGCGAAAGCCUGACGGAGCAACGCCGCGUGAGUGAUGAAGGUCUUCGGAUCGUAAAACUCUGUUAUUAGGGAAGAACAUAUGUGUAAGUAACUGUGCACAUCUUGACGGUACCUAAUCAGAAAGCCACGGCUAACUACGUG
rnacentral:rRNA from 1 species